GGUCUAUGACCAAGGCUCAGAUUGAACGCUGGCGGAUGCUUUACACAUGCAAGUCGAACGGCAGCACGGACUUCGGUCUGGUGGCGAGCGGCGAACGGGUGAGUAAUGUAUCGGAACGUGCCUAGUAGCGGGGGAUAACUACGCGAAAGCGUAGCUAAUACCGCAUACGCCCUUCGGGGGAAAGCGGGGGACCUUCGGGCCUUCGCACUAUUAGAGCGGCCGAUAUCGGAUUAGCUAGUUGGUGGGGUAACGGCUCACCAAGGCGACGAUCCGUAGCUGGUUUGAGGACGACCAGCCACACUGGGACUGGAGAUUACUCUGGCCCAGACUUACGUGAGGCAAAGAGUGGGGAAUUUUUGGACAAUGGGGAACUCUGAUCCAGGCCAUCCCGCGUGUGCGAUGAAGGCCUUCGGGUUGUAAAGCACUUUUGGCAGGAAGAAACGGCACGGAUAAUACCCUGUGCAACUGACGGUACCUGCAGAAUAAGCACCGGCUACUACGCCAGCAGCCGCGGUAAUACGGUGGUGCAAGCGGUGACCUGAAUUGUCGUGGGCGUAAAGCGUGCGCAGGUGGUUCGGAAAGAAAGAUGAAAUCCUGAGAGCUUAACUUUGAACUGGGAUUUCUUUAACUACCGAGCUAGAGUGUGUCAGAGGAGGUGGAAUUCCCGCGUAGCAGUGAAAUGCGUAGAUAUGCGGAGGAACACCGAUGGCGAAGGCAGCCUCCUGGGAUAACACACUGGACGCUCAUGCACGAAAGCGUGGGGAGCAAACAGGAUUAGAUACCCUGGUAGUCCACGCCCUUAAACGAUGUCAACUAGCUGUUGGGGCCUCGGGCCUGGUAGCGCAGCUAACGCGUGAAGUUGACCGCCUGGGGAGUACGGUCGCAAGAUUAAACCUCAAAGUUGAUUGGGACCCGCACAAGCGGUGGAUGAUGUGGAUUAAUUCGAUGCAACGCGAAAACUUCACCCACCUCCUUGACAUGUCUGAAUCCCGAAGAGAUUUGGGGAGUGCUCGCAAGAGAACCGGAACACAGGUGCCGCAUGGCUGUCGUCGCUCGUGUCGAGAUGUUGGGUUAAGUCCCGCAACGAGCGCAACCCUUGUCAUUAGUUGCUACGAAAGGGCACUCUAAUGAGACUGCCGGUGACAAACCGGAGGAAGGUGGGGAUGACGCUAAGUCCCCCUUAUUCCUUAUGGGUAGGGCUUCACCGCGUCAUACAAUGGCCGGGACAGAGGGUCGCCAACCCGCGAGGGCGCCAAUCCCGUGAACCUGAUCGUAGUCCGAUCGCAAAUGCAACUUCGGACUGGGUGAAGUCGGAAUCGCUAGUAAUCGCGGAUCAGCAUGUCGCGGUGAAUAUGCCCCGGGUCUUGUACACACCGCCUGUCACAAUCUGCUGGCGGGUUUUUUACCAGAAGUAGUUAGCCUAACCGUAAGGAGGGCGAUUACCACGGUAGGAUUCACACUCGCAGAAGUCGUAACAAGGUAG
rnacentral:rRNA from 1 species